AUUGAACGCUGGCGGCAUGCUUUACACAUGCAAGUCGAACGGCAGCGCGGGCUUCGGCCUGGCUGCGAGUGGCGAACGGGUGAGUAAUGCAUCUGAGCGUCCCCAGUAGUGGGGUAUAGCCCCGCGAGAGCCGGAUUAAUACCACAUACUACCUGAUGCUGCAACCGGGGGACCGAAAGGCCUCGCGCUCUUGGAGCGGCCGAUGUCGGAUUAGCUAGUUGGUGGGGUAAAGGCUUACCAAGGCGACGAUCCGUAGCUGGUCUGAGAGGACGAACAGCCACACGGGGACUGAGACACGGCCCAGACUACUACGGGAGGCAGCAGUGGGGAAUGUUGGACAAUGGGGGCAACCAUGAUCCAGCGAGGCCGCGUGCGGGAAGAAGGCCUUCGGGUUGUAAAAAGCUUUUGUGCGGGAAGAAAUCCUCUGGGCUAAUACCAAGGGGGGAUGACGGUACCGGAAGAAUAAGCACCGGCUAACUACGUG
rnacentral:rRNA from 1 species